UCUUCUGUGCGGAUAGUCUAACCACAUUUGACAAAUGCAGAUAUCAAAUCAAUAUAAAUUUCACGCAGCCCGCUAUCUUUCCCAGCUAAAAAUCCAUACACCCCGCUAUCUUUCCAGAUUUUUCCACAUGACUAUAUAACCCUAAACCUAACUUUCCCUUCAACAGACGCACGAACAUCCUCCUCGCCACCGCCGCCCUGUCACCCGCCUUGGCGCCGCUGGACCAGUCGUUCAUCUUGUCGCCGCAGCCCCAGCCAUCUGCCUCGAUGCCGCCACAACAGUCGUCUGCCUCGGCGCCCCAGCCGUCCUCCUCAUCAGUUUGCUCCUCGCUGCCUUGCCGUGAUCAAGAUGUCCCCUGGAAGGAUGGCUGGGGCAAGGACACGCACAGAUCUUGUUGGUGCUAAUUACUCAGUAUGAUAAGGAGAGGGCUUUAAAGGUGAUGAGGAACAACAAAAUGUUGAGCAGCCUUUGUAUAGCUGGAUUAACAUCACUUUUCGAUCAAGUAAUAAGGACUGACUCUCGCUUGUGAAGACUUUGAUCCAUUGUAUGAAUUUGAUCAUAAUGUGGACAAUGAUCAUCAUGUGGCUGAUAAGGACACAAUGAAGAAAGCACCUGUGGCUGAGCCUGGAGUAGAAGGAAAAGAAUCUAAGACCCCUAUAGAAGCAGUUGCUCAAGUGUUGGCUUCAUCAAAAUUUCUUCAAAAUAUUGGUCUUUACCUGCCACAAAUAAAAGCGGCAAUGGUGGUGAUCCUACAUGUGUGGCAGAGCUUGAAUCAGAGAAGCAAAACUCAUUAGAAGUUAGAGCUCAGUUAGAUGCCCUCAAGAAGAAGGUAGAAGAAUCAGAAAAAUCAAGGGUUUAAGGAGUUAUAAAAGAUUAAUGAUCUGCAAAAAGGAGCAGAUGAGACCAAUGCUCUCCAUCAUCUUCUCUUUAGCCUAAAUAAGUAGUUGGUCGAUUCAAUCUAAUGUGGCCCUGUUAUCUCAUAUUGCUAUGGCCCUGAUAUUGUUGUCCUUUCGGUACUGUACAUUGCACUCUACUUAAUGGUAGUUUGAUGAAAUAUGAUGCCAGUUUUGAGUUUGCUAUGUCCUUUUGGUACUGUCCUUAGCAAUGCCGGUGUCAUGAAACAUGAUGCUAGUUUUGAAAAUUGUGAAGGAUAUGAUUGCUGAUAAAUUAUACCUAUGAUAAUAUGUUGUUAAGUGUAUGUGAUAAUGUUUGAUAAUUAUUUAAUUACAAUGGAUUUUGCUUA